rnacentral:lncRNA from 1 species
CCCACACUCAGGGUGAGAGGGAGAUUCUGAAGCUUUGUGUUUCUUGCUAGCUAGUCAAAGGAUAGAAAAAUAAUACAUGCCAAAAGAAAUUUGAGGAACAAAUUCAGCCCUGAGACAGGUCAAGGAAACAGCCCUCCAGUCUUCCUCAAGAAAUGUAGACUGAAUCAGCAUUUACCCACCCCUGGAAAAACGCAGGAGCUGCGCAUUCCUGGGAUCUCAGCAGGGCUUUUGGGAAGAGCAGAACUGGGCUGGAGUCACGGUUUCUGGGCUGACUCUAGAUUUUCCCCAGCUUUUGUCACCUGUGAUGGCUGGAGAGUAUCUGAAGAUGACGACCAGUGUCCUUAGCUCGUGAAGAUUGGAUGAUGGCCGGGGCCCUCAGAUCCCUUGGCCCCUCCUUAACUGCAGGGCUUCAAAAGCCCAACACCUGUUCGUCAUUUCUGUGGCUUCCCAGGGAGUCUUACUCUUCUGCUUCAAGCUGCUGGGUUUGACUCUGAGCAGUUUCUGUGCAGCCGCAAAGAUUCUUAUGUGAGACACACUGCUGCUUCAGAGUGCUCCAACCCGUCUCCCCUGAUUAAACACUAACCAGGGCUGCCACAGCAAAGUGGCUCGAAUGGGUGACGUCAACAACAGAUUUACUUUCUCAUAGUUCUGGAGGCAGGUGUCUAGGAUCAAGGUGGUGGCAAGGCUAUUCCUUCUGUUGCCUCCCUCCUUGCCUUGUGGAUGACCGUCUUCACCGCGUCUUUCCAAGAUCUCUCCUCUGUGCAUGUCAGUGUCCUCGCUUCCUCUUCUUAUGA